UCCGAUGUAGUGUAACGGCUAGCACGGUCCGCUCUCACCGGGCAAACCCGGGUUCAACUCCCGGCAUCGGAA
rfam:Kuraishia capsulata CBS 1993 genomic scaffold, Kuraishia_capsulata_scaffold_6